AUCCAGUUGAUGAGUUUCAGAUAGAACGAAAUACGCAUCCUGGAU
rnacentral:hammerhead_ribozyme from 1 species